rnacentral:rRNA from 1 species
UACAGAGGGUGCGAGCGUUGUUCGGAAUUAUUGGGCGUAAAGGGCGCGUAGGCGGUGCGGUAAGUCACCUGUGAAAUCUCCUGGCUCAACUGGGAGCUUGCAGGCGAAACUGCCGUGCUGGAGUGUGGGAGAGGUGAGUGGAAUUCCCGGUGUAGCGGUGAAAUGCGUAGAUAUCAGGAGGAAUACCGAUGGCGAAGGCAGGUCUCUGGGCUGACACUGACGCUCAUGCACGAAAGCGUGGGGAGCAAACAGG